CUCAAUGACAGAAAAUAUGGAUGGCAGUUAUGCAAAACCAAGAAGCAGGGCAUCCUUUGCCAUGAGACCACCUGCACCAUCAACAUCCCAGCUUCUUCAGCCAAGGAGAAGGGUCUCCAUUGCUACACUCCGUCCUGACAAACCUUCUGACAUAACAACUCCACUCCAUACCUCAACCUCCCAACCGCCUGCACCAUCAACAUCCCAGCUUCUUCAGCCAAGGAGAAGGGUCUCCAUUGCUACACUCCGUCCUGACAAACCUUCUGACAUAACAACUCCACUCCACACCUCAGCCUCCCAAUUUACCAGUGGAAGCGGCAUGUCACUGAUAAGGAACCAAAGGAAGGGACGGUAUUCAAGUUUGUUCGCCCCAUUGCCGGAGUCGAGAGCAUCUGUUGAGAC
rnacentral:lncRNA from 1 species